UGGGGAAUAUUGCACAAUGGGGGAAACCCUGAUGCAGCAACGCCGCGUGAGUGAUGAAGGUCUUCGGAUUGUAAAACUCUGUCUUUGGGGACGAUAAUGACGGUACCCAAGGAGGAAGCCACGGCUAACUACGUGCCAGCAGCCGCGGUAAUACGUAGGUGGCAAGCGUUGUCCGGAUUUACUGGGCGUAAAGGGAGCGUAGGUGGAUAUUUAAGUGGGAUGUGAAAUACUCGGGCUUAACCUGAGUGCUGCAUUCCAAACUGGAUAUCUAGAGUGCAGGAGAGGAAAGUGGAAUUCCUAGUGUAGCGGUGAAAUGCGUAGAUAUUAGGAAGAACACCAGUGGCGAAGGCGACUUUCUGGACUGUAACUGACACUGAGGCUCGAAAGCGUGGGGAGCGAACAGGAUUAGAUACCCGGGUAGUCC
rnacentral:rRNA from 1 species